rnacentral:tRNA from 1 species
ACCUGGGUGGCUCAGUCGGUUGAGCAUCUGACUUCAGCUCAGGUAAUGAUCUCACGGUUUGUGAGUUUGAGCCCCACAUCAGGCU